GUUCUGUAUUAACUGAAAAACAAGUUUAUGGAAGGGGCAAAGAGGAAGAUGAGAUAGUGAAAAUCUUGAUAAACAAUGCCCAAGAACUUUCAGUCCUCCCAAUACUUGGUUUGGGGGGACUAGGAAAGACGACUCUUGCCCAAAUGGUCUUCAAUGAUCCGAGAGUAACUGAUCAUUUCCAUCCCAAAAUAUGGAUUUGUGUCUCGGAAGAUUUUGAUGAGAAGAGAUUGAUAAAGGCAAUUGUAGAAUCUAUUGAAGAAAGGCCACUACUUGGCGACAUGGACUUGGCUCCACUUCAAAAGAAGCUUCAGAAGUUGCUGAAUAGAGAAAGAUACUUUCUUGUCUUAGAUGAUGUUUGGAAUGAAGAUCAACAGAAGUGGGAUAAUUUAAGAGCAGUCUUGAAGGUUGGAGCAAGUGGUGCUUCUGUUCUAACCACUACUCGUCUUCAAAAGGUUUGUUCAAUUAUGCAAACUUUGCACCCAUAUGAAUUGUCAAAUCUGUCUCAAGAAGAUUGUUGGUUGUUGUUCAAGCAACGUGCAUUUGAGCACCCAGAAGAAAUAAAUCCUAAACUUGAGGCUAUCGGAAAGGAGAUUGUGAAAAAAUGUGGUGGUGUACCUCUAGCUGCCAAGACUCUCGGAGGUAUUUUGCUCUCCGAGAAAGAAGAAAGAAAGUGGAAAAAUGUGAGAGAUAGUGAGAUUUGGAAUUUGGCUCAAGAUGAAAGUUCUAUUCUGCCUACCCUGAGGCUGAGUUAUCAUCAUCUUCCACUUGAUUUGAGACAAUGCAUUUGUGUAUUCUGCGGUGUUCCCAAAGGACACCAAAAUGGAAAAGGAAAAUCUAAUCUCUCUUUGGAUGGCACACGGUUUUCUUUCAUCGAAAGGAAACUUGGAGCUAGAGGAUGUGGGUAAUGAAGUAUGGAAUGAAUUAUAUUUGAGGUCUUUCUUCCAAGAGAUUGAAGUUAAAUCUGGUAAAACUUAUUUCAAGAUGCAUGAUCUCAUCCAUGAUUUGGCUACAUCUCUGUUUUCAGCAAGAGCAUCAAGCAGCAAUAUCCGUGAAAUAAGUGUAAAAAAAUACUCACAUAUGAUGUCCAUUGGUUUUGCUAAAGUGGAGUCUUCCUACUCUCAUUUGCUCGUGAAGAACUUUGUCUCGUUGAGGGUGCUUAAUCUGAGUAAUUUAAGACUUGAGCAGUUACCGUCUUCCAUUGGAGAUCUAUUACAUUUAAGAUACCUGGACCUCUCUUACAAUAGAGAAAUGCGUAGUCUUCCAAAGCAGUUAUGCAAGCUUCAAAAUCUGCUGACUCUUGAUCUACAGUAUUGCACCUCACUUUGCUGUUUGCCAAAAGAAACAGGUAAACUUGGUAGUCUCCGAAAUCUUUUACUUGCUGGUUGCAUUAAAUUGAAUUCUAUACCACCAAGGAUAGGAUCUUUGACAUGCCUUAAGACUCUAGAUUUCUAUUUUGUGGGAAGGAAGAAAGCUUCUCAACUUGGGGAACUACGAAACCUGAAUCUCUAUGGCUCAAUUGAAAUUAGACAUCUUGAGAGAGUGAAGAAUGAUAAGGAUGCAAAAGAAGCCAAUUUAUCUGCAAAAGAGAAUCUGCAAUCUUUAAUCAUAAAUUGGGAUUGGUUUGAACCACGUAGAUAUGAAUCAGAAGAAGUUGAAGUGCUUGAAGCCCUCAAACCACACUCCAAUCUGACUUCUUUAAAAAUCACUGGCUUCAAAGGAAUCCGUUUCCCAUAUUGGAUGAAUCACUCAGUUUUGAAAAAUGUUGUCUCUAUUGUAAUUGAAGGUUGCUUAAACUGCUCAUGCUUACCACCCUUUGGUGAGCUGCCUUGUCUAGAAAGUCUAGACUUACAAUCUGGGUGUGUGGAGUAUGUUGAUGUUGAUGUUGAUGUUGAUUCUGGGAGGUUUCCAUCCUUGAGGAAACUUGUUAUAUGGGGCUUUAGUAAUCUAAAAAGAGUGCUAAAAAAGGAAGGAGAAGAGCAAUUCCUUGUGCUUGAAGAGAUGACAAUUCACCGGUGCCCUGUGUUUGUUAUUCCGACCCUCCCUUCAUUGAAAGUUUAUGAGACAGAUGCCUCAAGUUUGUGGUCCACAUCUAAUCUUAGUGCUCUUACUUCCCUCAACAUAAGCAAUAACUAUGAAGCUACUUCACUACCAGAAGAGAUGUUCAAAAGCCUUGCAAAUCUCAAAUACUUGGAAAUCUCUUUCUUUAAGAAUCUCAAAGAGCUGCCUAGCAGCUUGGCUAGUCUCAAUGCUUUGAAGCAUCUGGCUAUUUAUUAUUGUGACGCACUAGAGAGUCUCCCCGAGGAAGGGGUGAAAUGUUUAACUUCACUCACACAGUUAUCCAUAACAUACUGUGAGAUGCUAAAAUGUUUACCGGAAGGAUUGCAGCACCUAACAGCCCUCACAACUUUAACAAUUAGUGAAUGUCCAACACUGGAAAAGCGGUGCGAGAAGGGAAUAGGAGAAGACUGGCACAAAAUUGCUCACAUUCCUAAUCUGAACAUAUAUUCCUAGUAUUAUUAUUUGUAAUUUUUUCUUUGUUUGUGACUUCUGAGUCUCCCACACAGGUAGCAUUCCGUAUCUGAGUAUAUAUUCCUAAGUAUUAUUUGUUUCUUUGUUUGUGGGUCUUUUUGGUUCCUCCCAUUAGAUGUAAUUGUUUGUAGGGUUGUUUGUUUGUGAAUCUCUCUCUCAUUGGAUGUAAUUUUCUUUUUGAAACAAAUCAAUAAUCUAUUUGUAUUAUCCGCUUUGAGAAUGUAUUAGUUAUUUGUAAAUUGUCAGUCUCUCUGGUUCCUGUCAUUGGAUGUAAUUUUCUGAUUUUUCUUUUGAAAACAAAUCAACCAUUUCUAAGAUC